rnacentral:rRNA from 1 species
CGGCAGCACGGGGGCAACCCUGGUGGCGAGUGGCGAACGGGUGAGUAAUACAUCGGAACGUGUCCUGUAGUGGGGGAUAGCCCGGCGAAAGCCGGAUUAAUACCGCAUACGCUCUACGGAGGAAAGGGGGGGAUCUUAGGACCUCUCGCUACAGGGGCGGCCGAUGGCAGAUUAGCUAGUUGGUGGGGUAAAGGCCUACCAAGGCGACGAUCUGUAGCUGGUCUGAGAGGACGACCAGCCACACUGGGACUGAGACACGGCCCAGACUCCUACGGGAGGCAGCAGUGGGGAAUUUUGGACAAUGGGGGCAACCCUGAUCCAGCAAUGCCGCGUGUGUGAAGAAGGCCUUCGGGUUGUAAAGCACUUUUGUCCGGAAAGAAAACCUUUGCCCUAAUACGGCGGGGGGAUGACGGUACCGGAAGAAUAAGCACCGGCUAACUACGUGCCAGCAGCCGCGGUAAUACGUAGGGUGCAAGCGUUAAUCGGAAUUACUGGGCGUAAAGCGUGCGCAGGCGGUUCGCUAAGACAGAUGUGAAAUCCCCGGGCUUAACCUGGGAACUGCAUUUGUGACUGGCGGGCUAGAGUAUGGCAGAGGGGGGUAGAAUUCCACGUGUAGCAGUGAAAUGCGUAGAGAUGUGGAGGAAUACCGAUGGCGAA